rnacentral:rRNA from 1 species
CCGUACACAAAAGCGCAUGUGCUGUGAGCUCGAUGAGUAGGGCGGGACACGUGGUAUCCUGUCUGAAUAUGGGGGGACCAUCCUCCAAGGCUAAAUACUCCUGACUGACCGAUAGUGAACCAGUACCGUGAGGGAAAGGCGAAAAGAACCCCGGCGAGGGGAGUGAAAAAGAACCUGAAACCGUGUACGUACAAGCAGUGGGAGCACCCUUCGGGGUGUGACUGCGUACCUUUUGUAUAAUGGGUCAGCGACUUAUAUUCUGUAGCAAGGUUAACCGUAUAGGGGAGCCGUAGGGAAACCGAGUCUUAACCGGGCGUUAAGUUGCAGGGUAUAGACCCGAAACCCGGUGAUCUAGCCAUGGGCAGGUUGAAGGUUGGGUAACACUAACUGGAGGACCGAACCGACUAAUGUUGAAAAAUUAGCGGAUGACCUGUGGCUGGGGGUGAAAGGCCAAUCAAACCGGGAGAUAGCUGGUUCUCCCCGAAAGCUAUUUAGGUAGCGCCUCGUGAAUUCAUCUCCGGGGGUAGAGCACUGUUUCGGCUAGGGGGCCAUCCCGGCUUACCAACCCGAUGCAAACUGCGAAUACCGGAGAAUGUUAUCACGGGAGACACACGGCGGGUGCUAACGUCCGUCGUGAAGAGGGAAACAACCCAGACCGCCAGCUAAGGUCCCAAAGUCAUGGUUAAGUGGGAAACGAUGUGGGAAGGCCCAGACAGCCAGGAUGUUGGCUUAGAAGCAGCCAUCAUUUAAAGAAAGCGUAAUAGCUCACUGGUCGAGUCGGCCUGCGCGGAAGAUGUAACGGGGCUAAACCAUGCACCGAAGCUGCGGCAGCGAACGUAUCACCCAAGACAACUUUACGGAGUUGACGAUUGACGGAGCGAAGCGACGUCAAAGCGUUCAUUAAAGUCGAGUUGGCUUAGGGAUACGUUCGUUGGGUAGGGGAGCGUUCUGUAAGCCUGUGAAGGUGUGUCGUGAGGCAUGCUGGAGGUAUCAGAAGUGCGAAUGCUGACAUAAGUAACGAUAAAGCGGGUGAAAAGCCCGCUCGCCGGAAGACCAAGGGUUCCUGUCCAACGUUAAUCGGGGCAGGGUGAGUCGACCCCUAAGGCGAGGCCGAAAGGCGUAGUCGAUGGGAAACGGGUUAAUAUUCCCGUACUUGGUGUUACUGCGAAGGGGGGACGGAGAAGGCUAUGUUGGCCGGGCGACGGUUGUCCCGGUUUAAGCGUGUAGGUGUGUGUUCCAGGUAAAUCCGGUUCACUUUAACACUGAGGCGUGACGACGAGGCACUACGGUGCUGAAGCAACAAAUGCCCUGCUUCCAGGAAAAGCCUCUAAGCAUCAGGUAACACGAAAUCGUACCCCAAACCGACACAGGUGGUCAGGUAGAGAAUACCAAGGCGCUUGAGAGAACUCGGGUGAAGGAACUAGGCAAAAUGGUGCCGUAACUUCGGGAGAAGGCACGCUGACACGUAGGUGAAGUGAUUUACUCAUGGAGCUGAAGUCAGUCGAAGAUACCAGCUGGCUGCAACUGUUUAUUAAAAACACAGCACUGUGCAAACACGAAAGUGGACGUAUACGGUGUGACGCCUGCCCGGUGCCGGAAGGUUAAUUGAUGGGGUCAGCGCAAGCGAAGCUCCUGAUCGAAGCCCCGGUAAACGGCGGCCGUAACUAUAACGGUCCUAAGGUAGCGAAAUUCCUUGUCGGGUAAGUUCCGACCUGCACGAAUGGCGUAAUGAUGGCCAGGCUGUCUCCACCCGAGACUCAGUGAAAUUGAACUCGCUGUGAAGAUGCAGUGUACCCGCGGCAAGACGGAAAGACCCCGUGAACCUUUACUAUAGCUUGACACUGAACAUUGAGCCUUGAUGUGUAGGAUAGGUGGGAGGCUUUGAAGUGUGGACGCCAGUCUGCAUGGAGCCGACCUUGAAAUACCACCCUUUAAUGUUUGAUGUUCUAACGUGGACCCGUAAUCCGGGUUGCGGACAGUGUCUGGUGGGUAGUUUGACUGGGGCGGUCUCCUCCUAAAGAGUAACGGAGGAGCACGAAGGUUGGCUAAUCCUGGUCGGACAUCAGGAGGUUAGUGCAAUGGCAUAAGCCAGCUUGACUGCGAGCGUGACGGCGCGAGCAGGUGCGAAAGCAGGUCAUAGUGAUCCGGUGGUUCUGAAUGGAAGGGCCAUCGCUCAACGGAUAAAAGGUACUCCGGGGAUAACAGGCUGAUACCGCCCAAGAGUUCAUAUCGACGGCGGUGUUUGGCACCUCGAUGUCGGCUCAUCACAUCCUGGGGCUGAAGUAGGUCCCAAGGGUAUGGCUGUUCGCCAUUUAAAGUGGUACGCGAGCUGGGUUUAGAACGUCGUGAGACAGUUCGGUCCCUAUCUGCCGUGGGCGCUGGAGAACUGAGGGGGGCUGCUCCUAGUACGAGAGGACCGGAGUGGACGCAUCACUGGUGUUCGGGUUGUCAUGCCAAUGGCACUGCCCGGUAGCUAAAUGCGGAAGAGAUAAGUGCUGAAAGCAUCUAAGCACGAAACUUGCCCCGAGAUGAGUUCUCCCUGAGACUUAGAGUCUCCUGAAGGAACGUUGAAGACGACGACGUUGAUAGGCCGGGUGUGUAAGCGCAGCGAUGCGUUGAGCUAACCGGUACUAAUGAACCGUGAGGCUUAACCUUACA